UAACUAUUAUAUAGUACUCAGACAUCACUAAAAUUCAGAGUUUGGUCCUCUGGCAGGCACACGCAGGCAGAGCCCGCGGUGGAGGCCACGGCCUGCCAAAGCAACAAGAGUAAAUAGACACGGGUGGGGUCUACCGGUUGCCCAGCAUCCUUUUUUAAUGAUCCUUCCGCAGGUUCACCUACGGAAA
rnacentral:misc_RNA from 1 species